CAGAGGGGGCAAGCGUUAUUCGGAAUUAUUGGGCGUAAAGGGCGCGUAGGCGGCUUUGCAAGUGACGGGUGAAAUCCCUCGGCUUAACCGAGGAACUGCCUGUCAAACUGCAUGGCUUGAGACCGGGAGAGGUGAGUGGAAUUCCCAGUGUAGCGGUGAAAUGCGUAGAUAUUGGGAGGAACACCAGGGCGAAGGCGGCUCACUGGACCGGUACUGACGCUGAUGCGCGAAAGCGUGGGUAGCAAACAGGAUUAGAUACCCUGGUAGUCCACGCCGUAAACGAUGAGUGCUUGGUGUAGCGGGUAUCGACCCCUGCUGUGCCGAAGUCAACACAUUAAGCACUCCGCCUGGGGAGUACGGUCGCAAGGCUG
rnacentral:rRNA from 1 species